rnacentral:misc_RNA from 1 species
GAUGAAGAACGUAGUGAAAUGCGAUAAGUAGUGUGAAUUGCAGAAUUCAGUGAAUCAUCGAAUCUUUGAACGCACAUUGCGCCCCUUGGUAUUCCAUGGGGCAUGCCUGUUCGAGCGUCAUUUGUACCUUCAAGCUCUGCUUGGUGUUGGGUGUUUGUCUCGCCUCUGCGUGUAGACUCGCCUCAAAACAAUUGGCAGCCGGCGUAUUGAUUUCGGAGCGCAGUACAUCUCGCGCUUUGCACUCAUAACGACGACGUCCAAAAGUACAUUUUUACACUCUUGACCUCGGAUCAGGUAGGGAUACCCGCUGAACUUAAGCAUAUCAAUAGGCGGAGGA